GCAAACUUGGUCAUUUAGAGGAAGUAAAAGUCGUAACAAGGUCUCCGUAGGUGAACCUGCGGAGGGAUCAUUACAGAAUGACCAUUUUAGGUCUUCAAAACCCUCAAAUCUGUGGUUUUUAUGGUAUGUGUUUCGGCGUUUCGGCGUCGUAUUUAUGCUAUAUAUAAAUAUAUAUUUGAAGUCUAGAUUGUAAAAUAAAAUUUAAAACUUUCAACAAAGGAUCUCUUGGCUCUUGCAUCGAUGAAGAACGCAGC
rnacentral:misc_RNA from 1 species